UACAGACCAUGCCCUGUUCCUGUACUGUUUCUUUUAUGUUUCACCGUCUUGCUGGGGAUUUGUUCCUACUGGUGAUCACAAGUAGUGAAGGUGGAAAUAAAAUUUUGGAGGGCAGCUAUUUCUAUGUUUAGCUAAACCUUUUUGAAGUUAUUUUAAAUCAAGUGUAAAAAACAAAAGCGGAUCCCCUGGUAGUUCAGUGGUUAUGAUUCUGAGCUUUCACUGCUGGGCCUGGGGUUCCAGCUUUGGUCAGGGAACUCGGAUCCCACAAGUUGCUUGUGUCGGGGUGAAAAAGAAAAAAACUACAGAAAACAUUGCAUUCAUUCCUUUAUUUGAGCAAUAUUUGAGCAAGCUACUGAACUUGUUACAAAAAUAUGGACGAAGUCAAAGUUUUGUUCCCAGAUUAUUUGAAGGUAAGGUAAGGGAGAUCUUCCAAAAAUGAGUACUUUUGAAAAGUUAAAAAAAAAGCCUUUUGUAAAGCUAAUAGCACAAAUACUUUCAAGAGGGAGCUGCUGCUGCUGCUAAGUCGCUUCAGUCGUGUCGGACUCUGUGCGACUCCAUAGAUGGCAGACCACCAGGCUCCCCAGUCCCUGGGAUUCUCCAGGCAAGAACACUGGAGUGGGUUGCCAUUGCCUUCUCCAAUGCAUGAAAGUGAAAAGUGAAAGUGAAGUCGAUCAGUGUCCGACUCUUAGCGACCUCAUGGACUGCAGCCCACCAGGUUCCUCUGUCCAUGGGAUUUUCCAGGCAAGAGUACUGGAGUGAGGUGCCAUUGCCUUCUCCGUCAAGAGGGAUCGGACAUAUGUAUACCUGUAGCUGAUUCAUGUUGAUAUGUGGCAGAAGAAAACAAAAUUCUGUAAAGCAAUUAUCCUUCAAUUGAAAAAAAAAAUACAAAUAUGUGAGUUCCGUAAAACAGUGUGACGAUACAAGACCAGACUCUAUUUAGAAAUAUAGAAAGAAAUACAGUGAAAAAAUAAAAGCUAGUUUCUGACCUUAAGGCUUCUCAGUUCAAUAUAUUUCAUCAUCUUUCUGUUAUAAAUUUCAUAAUUCUGGGAAGAAAAUUGCAAAAUAUGUUGCAAAAUAUGUCCUAAUCUUCAGAA
ensembl:lncRNA